UGACACUUGACUUGAGAGGUCUGUGAGGG
rnacentral:piRNA from 1 species